UCCGGAGGGUGCAAGCGUUGUUCGGAAUCACUGGGCGUAAAGCGCGUGUAGGCGGCUUGGCAAGUCGAGUGUGAAAUCCCAGGGCUCAACCCUGGAACUGCACCCGAAACUGCCUCGCUGGAGUCUCGGAGAGGGUGGCGGAAUUUCCGGUGUAGAGGUGAAAUUCGUAGAUACCGGAAGGAACACCAGUGGCGAGGGCGGCCACCUGGACGGUGACUGACGCUGAGACGCGAAAGCGUGGGGAGCAAACAGG
rnacentral:rRNA from 1 species